rnacentral:rRNA from 1 species
UGGGGAAUAUUGCACAAUGGGCGAAAGCCUGAUGCAGCGACGCCGCGUGAGGGAUGACGGCCUUCGGGUUGUAAACCUCUUUCAGUAGGGAAGAAGCGAAAGUGACGGUACCUGCAGAAGAAGCGCCGGCUAACUACGUGUCA